GAUGAAGAACGUAGCGAAAUGCGAUACGUAAUGUGAAUUGCAGAAUUCAGUGAAUCAUCGAAUCUUUGAACGCACAUUGCGCCCCUUGGUAUUCCAUGGGGCAUGCCUGUUCGAGCGUCAUUUGUACCUUCAAGCUCUGCUUGGUGUUGGGUGAUUGUCUAUCUUUGUAGACUCGCCUUAAAGUCAUUGGCAGCCGGCAUAUUGGCCUGGGAGCGCAGCACAAGUCGCGCUUCUUGUCAUGAAUGUUGGCGUCCAGUAAGUCUACAUAUUUUGCUCUUGACCUCGGAUCAGGUAGGGAUACCCGCUGAACUUAAGCAUAUCAAUAAGCGGAGGA
rnacentral:misc_RNA from 1 species